CCUACGGGAGGCAGCAGUGAGGAAUAUUGGUCAAUGGACGGAAGUCUGAACCAGCCAUGCCGCGUGCAGGAAGACGGCUCUAUGAGUUGUAAACUGCUUUUGUACAAGGGUAAACUUGAAUACGUGUAUUCAGCUGAAAGUACUGUACGAAUAAGGAUCGGCCAACCCCGUGCCAGCAGCCGAAGUAAUAUGGAGGAUCCAAGCGGUAUCCGGAUUUAUUGGGUUUAAAGCGUGCGUAGGCGGAUUGUUAAGUUAGAGGUGAAAUGUCCGAGCUUAACUCGGGAACUGCCUCUAAUACUGUUGAACUGGAGAGUGGAUGCGGAAAGCGGAAUGUAUGGUGUAGCAGUGAAAUGCUUAGAGAUCAUGCAGAACACCGGUUGCGAAGGCGACUAUCCGGUCUAUAUCUGACGUUGAGGCGCGAAAGCGUGGGGAGCAAACAGGAUUAGAUACCCGGGUAGUC
rnacentral:rRNA from 1 species